AAGUAGGGACGACCCUACCGCUCCUUCGCACACUGGGGACGGCCCCA
rnacentral:ncRNA from 1 species